rnacentral:rRNA from 1 species
UCCGUAGGCGGUUCGGAAAGUCGGAAGUGAAAUCUCUGGGCUUAACCCAGAGGCUGCUUCCGAAACUGCCGUGCUAGAGUGCGAGAGAGGCGAGUGGAAUUGCGGGUGUAGCGGUGAAAUGCGUAGAUAUCCGCAGGAACAUCCGAGGCGAAGGCGGCUCGCUGGAUCGCAACUGACGCUGAGGGACGAAAGCUAGGGGAGCAAACAGGAUUAGAUACCCUGGUAGUCCUAGCCCUAAACCAUCAGGACUUGGGGUUUGCCCUGUACGGGGCAAGUCCCGUAGCUAACGCGUUAAGUCCUGCGCCUGGGGAGUACGGUCGCAAGGCUGAA